UGUGCCUCUUUUCAUAUAUAUGAAUAAGUUUUACAUCGAAACCAAGCUUAACAGAGACUUAAAAGAUGACCUUAUAAAGCUGUUUACGGAACAUGUUGCAGAAAAGCACAUUUACAGCCUAAUGCCUUUACUUUUAGAAGCCCAGUCAACACCAUUUCAGGUCACACCUUCAACUAUGGCAAAUAUUGUGAAAGGCCUGUAUACCCUCAGACCAGGUAAACAUUUCUCAUUUCUGUUGGGAUUGGAACUGUUUGUUACAGCCUUUUCCAAGAGGGCAGUGGUUCUGUAUGUGUUUUGUGAGGCUUAAUGGUACUUGGAUUUGCUGGAGCAAAAAAAUUGAGUAGAUACUCAUCAUUGUGAAAUGUAAACUCAGAGCUCAGUUGGAAUGUUCUCUGCUAGUGGAAACCAACUAGUGUGGUUUUUGCAGAACCUGUG
rnacentral:ncRNA from 2 species